rnacentral:rRNA from 1 species
GCAGUAGCCACGGUAAUACGUAGGUGGCAAGCGUUGUCCGGAAUUAUUGGGCGUAAAGCGCACGUAGGCGGUUAUUCAAGUCAGAGGUGAAAGCCCGGGGCUCAACCCCGGAACUGCCUUUGAAACUAGAUGACUAGAAUCUUGGAGAGGUCAGUGGAAUUCCGAGUGUAGAGGUGAAAUUCGUAGAUAUUCGGAAGAACACCAGUGGCGAAGGCGACUGACUGGACAAGUAUUGACGCUGAGGUGCGAAAGCGUGGGGAGCAAACAGGAUUAGAUACCCCGGUAGUCCCUGUCUCUUAUAC